rnacentral:rRNA from 1 species
UGGGGAAUAUUGGACAAUGGAGGCAACUCUGAUCCAGCAAUUCUGUGUGUGUGAAGAAGGUUUUAGGACUGUAAAACACUUUUAGUAGGGAAGAAAAAAAUGACGGUACCUACAGAAGAAGCAACGGCUAAAUACGUGCCAGCAGCCGCGGUAAUACGUAUGUUGCGAGCGUUAUCCGGAAUUAUUGGGCUUAAAGGGCAUCUAGGCGGUAAGACAAGUUGAAGGUGAAAACCUGUGGCUCAACCAUAGGCUUGCCUACAAAACUGUAUAACUAGAGUACUGGAAAGGUGGGUGGAACUACACGAGUAGAGGUGAAAUUCGUAGAUAUGUGUAGGAAUGCCGAUGAUGAAGAUAACUCACUGGACAGCAACUGACGCUGAAGUGCGAAAGCUAGGGGAGCAAACAGG